rnacentral:misc_RNA from 1 species
AAAAAAAAAAAAUAGACCAUUGAGAAGACAAUGAAAAUUGAAAAUUUAUCUCACACUUUUCAACUAAACAGCCUUUCAAUUGCAUUUGUGACUGAUUUUAUCCAUUCAGGUUCUUGGAGAACUGAAGGAAAGAAUAAAAUUCAUCAUUUAAAUCUUAUUGCUACAAUCAAAAAAGAUAAAGAGUAUCUCAUUCACUUUUCAAUUAGGAAGCCUUUCAAUUGCAUUAGUCUUUCAAUUGAAGAGCUUUUCAAUUGCAUUUGUGACAGAUUUUAUGUAUUCAGGAUCUUGGAGAAGUGAAGGAAAGAAUAAAAUUCAUCAUUUAAAUCUUAUUGCUACAAUCAAAAAAGAUAAAGAGUAUCUCAUUCACUUUUCAAUUAGGAAGCCUUUCAAUUGCAUUAGUCUUUCAAUUGAAGAGCUUUUCAAUUGCAUUUGUGACAGAUUUUAUGUAUUCAGGAUCUUGGAGAAG